rnacentral:tRNA from 1 species
GCCCAUGUAGCUCAGUCGGUAGAGCACCUUCUUGGUAAGAAGGGGGUCAUCAGUUCGAGUCUGAUCAUGGGCUCAA